rnacentral:rRNA from 1 species
AGGACGAACGCUGGCGGCGUGCUUAACACAUGCAAGUCGAGCGGAAAGGCCCUUCGGGGUACUCGAGCGGCGAACGGGUGAGUAACACGUGAGCAACCUGCCCUUAGCUCCGGGAUAGCUCCGGGAAACCGGAAUUAAUACCGGAUACGACCACAGCCGACAUCUGCUGUGGUGGAAAGGAUUCCGGCUAAGGAUGGGCUCGCGGCCUAUCAGCUUGUUGGUGGGUAACGCCUACCAAGGCGACGACGGGUA